AACGAACGCUGGCGGCAUGCCUAACACAUGCAAGUCGAACGAGACCUUCGGGUCUAGUGGUGCACGGGUGCGUAACGCGUGGGAACCUGCCCUUAGGUUCGGAAUAACUCCCCGAAAGGGGUGCUAAUACCGGAUAAUGUCUUCGGACCAAAGAUUUAUCGCCUUUGGAUGGGCCCGCGUUGGAUUAGCUAGUUGGUAGGGUAAAAGCCUACCAAGGCGACGAUCCAUAGCUGGUCUGAGAGGAUGAUCAGCCACACUGGGACUGAGACACGGCCCAGACUCCUACGGGAGGCAGCAGUGGGGAAUAUUGGACAAUGGGCGAAAGCCUGAUAAAGCAAUGCCGCGUGAGUGAUGAAGGCCUUAGGGUUGUAAAGCUCUUUUACCCGGGAUGAUAAUGACAGUACCGGGAGAAUAAGCUCCGGCUAACUCCGUG
rnacentral:rRNA from 1 species